rnacentral:rRNA from 1 species
GACAGAGGGUGCAAACGUUGUUCGGAAUUACUGGGCGUAAAGCGCGUGUAGGCGGCUCGGAAAGUCGGGUGUGAAAGCCCUGGGCUUAACCCAGGAAGUGCACUCGAAACUUCCGAGCUGGAGUCCUGGAGAGGAAGGCGGAAUUCUCGGUGUAGAGGUGAAAUUCGUAGAUAUCGAGAGGAACACCGGUGGCGAAGGCGGCCUUCUGGACAGUGACUGACGCUGAGACGCGAAAGCGUGGGGAGCAGACAGG